rnacentral:lncRNA from 1 species
CGGGGUUACAGUUCUGCUUUAUAAUAGACUCAGCGAGGAAUCCAAAGCGGACCUCUGUGGCGUGAUCUCACUAAGUUUUGUUCCAAACACUGUUUGUAUUUACCCGGAAUCGGUCAGGUUGGAGGUCCGCAAAAGUGUCGGAGGCCAGCUCAAUCUGAAUUAUUGGAAGGAGGGAAACCUGGGGCUGUUGCCUGCUUUCGCCUUUUCAUAUUCGUUGUCCCUGCUCCAGCGCUAGGUGGCGCCAGUGCACACCCGCUGUAGCGCUCCAGCUUUAACCACGCAAACGAGGAAAAAUAUCUCACCCAGAGGAUGCGAAAACUUACAGAGGAAAGAAACCAGGAUGCGUGAAUGAAAUGGAGCUUAACAACCCUGCUAGUCAGAACCAUUCCUAUCUCUGGUCUGUUACAAGAGUAAAAAGUCUCUAUUUCCUUUAAAU